UACAGAGGGUGCGAGCGUUAAUCGGAAUUACUGGGCGUAAAGCGCGCGUAGGCGGCUUUGCAAGUCGGGUGUGAAAUCCCCAGGCUUAACCUGGGAACUGCAUUCGAUACUGGAUAGCUAGAGUUCGGCAGAGGGAAGCGGAAUUUCGGGUGUAGCGGUGAAAUGCGUAGAUAUCCGAAGGAACAUCAGUGGCGAAAGCGGCUUCCUGGACCAGAACUGACGAUCAGGCUCGAAAGCGUGGGGAGCAAACAGG
rnacentral:rRNA from 1 species